rnacentral:rRNA from 1 species
GACGAACGCUGGCGGCGUGCCUAAUACAUGCAAGUCGAACGCAGUGGGGACGGUUGAUUAACACAUGGGUAACCUCCCCUCAGAGGGGAUAACCCUUGGAAACAGGUGCUAAACCGAUACUGAUGGAUGGACCCGCGGUGAAUUAGCUAGUGGGUGGGGUAACGGCUCACCAAGGCCACGAUGCAUAGCCGACCUGAGAGGGUGAUCGGCCACCCUGGGACUGAGACACGGCCCAGACUCCUACGGGAGGCAGCAGUAGGGAAUAUUCGGCAAUGGACGGAAGUCGGACCGAGCAACGCCGCGUGAGUGAAGAAGGUUUUCGGAUCGUAAAACUCUGUUGGUAGAGAAGCGGUAUCUAACCAGAAAGCCACGGCUAACUACGUGCCAGCAGCCGCGGUAAUAC